UGCAGCAGAAGAGUUGGGUGUUGAAAAAAAACCCCAAAGCUGAUUAGACUGACGAUUGAACACAAAGCUGAUUUGACUGACGAUUUAAACCCAAAGCUGGUUUGGCAGACGAUGCAUGAUCACAAUGCAGAUUAAAAAUUUGCAGAGAGAAUGUCAAUUGGCUUAAAAAAAGAUUUAACAUCAACCCCUGGAUUUCUUUUAAGGAUACAGAAGUACAGGAGAUGCUCAGCAAUCUGGCAAAGAAGGCUGGCUGGACAUGAAAUGUUAUGGGAGUUAUGUCUAGCUUUGGAUCCACUGAAUUCACAUAUUACAGAAAUCAGAUCAGAGCAAAGCUGAUGGGUAACAAAGAAGUUGAUGUAGAGGGUCCCUCCAUUAAGUCUCUACAUAAUUAUCGAUGAAAAUGUUUCCUUCCUCCUACAAUUAUGCUAACAAAUCCAGAGAGGGAAUACUUCACACUGAUGCUAGUAUGAUGCUAGUAUGAAAACAAGAUUAUUCUGUGCCACAAACAAAUUGUUCAGAAAGGGGACAUUGGUGGAUUUGCAUUUUGGGUACAGUUCAAAGAAUUUUCAAUAUGAUGAUGGAAGAUCAGAGGGAGGACAAAUGGGAAAAGUUGACAGAGAAAGAAAAGAAUUAGGAAAUAUCUGGAAUAAAUAUGAAUGAGAAGGAUGUACUUAAUUUUGUCAGACUUUGACAUGCAAGGCUUUCUACAUUUAUAUGUAUACUGGAAUAUCAUUUUGAUUGUAAAAUCUCAUUCUAAUGUAUUCACAUUUUAUAUUUCAUGCUUUAUGCAUAAAUAUAUAAACAUUUUUAUGAAAAACUAUAUAUAUGUAUAUAUGUAUCUUUGUUCGAUCGAGACAUCAUCCUUUGUGAUUUCAUACUCAUUUAUGUGUUAAAUAUGCUGUAGGUACAUGUAAUCUGAAUUACUUAUGAUUUGUCAUAAAUUUACAAUAGAGACUACAUAUAUUGACAAAUGGUGUUGCAGAUAUUUCAAUUUUGCUGAGGACACUUCCAUGUCAUAUAGUAUUUUUAUACAAGUUCAUGAUCUAAUUAUGUUAUUCAUUGGUACAUGUAAUUUGUAUACAUGUUCAUCUCCUUGAUCAUUUUGCUGAAAUCCUUUCAAAUAAUUUGUACUCGUUUUAGAAUAUGUAAAAUACAUGUAUCGACAAAUGCUA